CCCCUUUCAGAACCGCUUUCCAAUCCCUAUAUUACGCGUGCCGGCUUCGGCCGGUUAUGACGCUAAAGGGUGGCAUGGAAUAAGCGCAGCGGACCCGGGGGCGGUACCCGGCGCCUCCACCAUGAGAACCGAUUUAUCCUGAUAACUCAGUGUUUUAGGGUCGGUUCUGAUGAUGGGGGCGAAAUAGGAUCGACGCGUGUAGUAAAGAUGCUUUCUGCGUUCGGUAUGGUAUCCGCCGUUAUCGGGCCACGGCUAUAAAUGCCAAUGAUAACGAAGAGAUGGUUGCCGUCGCCGCGUAACGCGGUCAAAGCGACACUUCGGAAUUCCUAGGCGGUUCAUCGCCGUCUAGGUGGGGUAUGGGGGACCUAGCAACAGAACCCCCCACU
rnacentral:tmRNA from 1 species